rnacentral:rRNA from 1 species
GUUCGGAUUGUAGUCUGCAACCCGACUACAUGAAGCUGGAAUCGCUAGUAAUCGCGGAUCAGAAUGCCGCGGUGAAUACGUUCCCGGGUCUUGUACACACCGCCCGUCACACCAUGGGAGUCGGAAAUGCCCGAAGUCUGUGACCCAACCGUAAGGAGGGAGCAGCCGAAGGCAGGUCGGAUGACUGGGGUGAAGUCGUAACAAGGUAAC